GGUACCGUCAAACGUGAGGCUUAUUCAUCCCCACGACUUUCGUCCCCCUUGACAGGAGCUUACGACCCGAAGGCCUUCGUCCUCCACGCGGCGUCGCUGCGUCAGGGUUUCCCCCAUUGCGCAAUAUUCCUCA
rnacentral:rRNA from 1 species